AUGGGCGUGUCCAGAUGGGAUGAUGAAGUAGAGGCGUCUGAAGUAGAGGAGUCUGAAGUAGAGGACGAUGAAGUAGGGGAGUCUGAAUUAGAGGAUGAUGAAGUAGAGGAGGAUGAGGAGUUCCAUGAGGCAGAGCAUACUCCACAUGUAGAGUAUGACAAAUUAGACCAUCCAAUGACAAAAGGCUUUACAUAUCCCAGCAUGAAAGAGUUCAAGUUGGCACUUUCUCAGCAUGCAAUCAAACAUGAAUUUGAGUAUAAUACCGAGUAUAGUACACCUCAUUGGUUUAGGGGCUAUUGUUCAAGACGAGAUGCUGAUAAUUGUCCAUGGAGGAUACAUGCUUCUACGACGGAGGAUAAGUGUACUGUAAUGGUGAAGAAAAACCCAUGUGGUCAUGAUUGCUCUAGUACAAGAAGGAAAAGGAAGAUGAAGAACGCAACCAAGUUUUGGAUAUGUGAUAAGGUGAAGGAUUGGCUGAUUGAAGAUGCUACUCUCGGAGCGAAGGCAUUGCGCAAAAAGAUUAAAGAACACCACAAGGUUGACAUCCACUACAAGAGGGUAUAUAUGGGUAAGAAGCUAGCUCUGAAAGAACUAUAUGGUGAUUGGGAUAGCAGCUUUGACAAUUUGUAUAGGUUUAAAGCACAAGUUGAAAUCUCUUGCCCUGGUAGCAUAGUGCAGAUUGAUCAUUACACUAUAAAAGAAAAAAUCAGGUUUAGAAGGUUCUUCUUUGCUUUGAAACCUUGCAUAGAUGGAUUCCUUAGUGGUUGCAGACCGUAUUUGGCAGUAGAUAGCACAUUCUUAACAGGCAGGUUUAAGGGGCAGCUAGCCAGUGCUACUGCUGUAGAUGGCCAUAAUUGGAUGUAUCCACUUUGUUUUGGAAUUUUUGAUUCCGAAACAAAUGAGAACUGGAUCUGGUUCAUGCAAUUGCUUAGGCAAGCCAUAGGAUCGCCAAGGGGUUUAGCCAUAAGCACUGAUGCUGGGCAGGCGGUGAUGACAGGGGUAAAGGAAGUUUUCCCAAAGGUAGAACAUAGGGAAUGCAUGUUUCACUUGGUGUCAAACUUCAAGAAAAAGUAUCACGGAAAGGUAUUUGAUGACCAUCUUUGGGUUGCUGCUUACUCAUGGAACAAGUAUAUAUUUGAGAAAAAUUGGGUUGCAAUGGAGACAGCAAAGCCAGCGGCAACUACAUAUCUUAGGAAGUGGCACACUAGGUUGUGGACUAGGAGUCAGUUCUCAACCAUUUGUAAGGUGGACUAUGUAACCAACAACCUGGCAGAGUGCUUCAAUAAAUGGAUUAAGCACCACAAGUCCUUGAACUUGGAUGACUUAAUGGACAAGCUUAGGCAGAUGAUUAUGAUCAUGUGGAAUCGAAGGAGAAAAGUAGCAAAGAAGUUAGCUAGCUUAUUAAUUUUGCCCCACAUAAUGAAGAAGUUGAAUGCAAAGAGUAGAGAGUUAAACUUGGAGGUGGUAGAAAGCUCGGAAGAAGUUGCUGAAGUUACUCAAUUGGGAGGCAACGGGUUUAGGUUUGUCGUCAACUUGCAUGAUAACACAUGUUCUUGUAGACAAUGGCAAGUUUCCGGCCUUCCUUGCAAGCAUGCUCUAGCAUUCAUCACAUCACUUGUCAAUGCACAUAUACAGAAUUAUGUGGACUCAUCUUACUCCAUUGACAAGUUUAGGGUAGCUUAUGGCCAACUAAUCCCUGCUAUGUGUGACAAGACCCAGUGGCCUGAAUCUAACCAUGGAUUCUUCAUGCAUCCACCCUUGUUAAAAGCUGUAGCUGGUCGGCCCCAAACUGAGAGGCAUAAGGGUUGUGGUGAGAAAAGGAGGAAAAGUAGCCAGCACUUGUGCCCUAUUUGCAAGGAAUACGGGCACCAUUGGCAUAAGUGCAAGAAGGGUAACAAAGAUGACAUUGUUGCUUUCAUGGCUGUGAGAGAACCACCAAAGAAGAGGAGGAAGACUACUAAAACAUCCGAGUCAUCCAUUGUGCCAAGAGGUGAUGACGCGCCGACAGCCGCUAUGUAUUUUCCACCAAGCCAAAACUUAGAAACUACAACCAAGAAGAAGGGAAAGCAUAACCAAACAUUGGAGACUACAAACAAGAAAAAUGCAAAAGGGGGGAAAAGGGCCACAAGGAAGAUGGAGCUUGCUAAAAAGGAUCAAAACAAUCUGAUGGUUCCAUUUGACAGCCCUGCAAUGGGCACUAGAAGCAAAAGAGCUUACCCAACUAGCCCUGCAAUGGGCACAAGAAGCAAAAGGCGGCUCAGCUUAUGA
rnacentral:rRNA from 1 species